rnacentral:rRNA from 1 species
AUAACGGCGUCGWSGGCGGACGGGUGAGUAAKGCCUAGGAAAUUGCCCUGAUGUGGGGGAUAACCAUUGGAAACGAUGGCUAAUACCGCAUGAUGCCUACGGSCAAAGAGGGGGACCUUCGGGCCUCUCGCGUCAGGAUAUGCCUWGGUGGGAUUAGCUAGUUGGUGAGGUAAGGGCUCACCWAGGCGACGAUCCCUAGCUGGUCUGAGAGGAUGAUCAGCCACACUGGAACUGAGACACGGUCCAGACUCCUACGGGAGGCAGCAGUGGGGAAUAUUGCACAAUGGGCGCAAGUGAUGCAGCCAUGCCGCGUGURUGAAGAAGGCCUUCGGGUUGUAAAGYACUUUCAGUCGUGAGGAAGGURGUGUAGUUAAUAGCUGCAUURUUUGACGKUAGCGACAGAAGAAGCACCGGCUAACUCCGUGCCAGCAGCCGCGGUAAUACGGAGGGUGCGAGCGUUAAUCGGAAUUACUGGGCGUAAAGCGCAUGAGGYGGUUUGUUAAGUCAGAUGUGAAAGCCCGSGGCUCAACCUCGGAAUAGCAUUUGAAACUGGSAGACUAGAGUACUGUAGAGGGGGKAGAAUUUCAGGUGUAGCGGUGAAAUGCSUAGAGAUCUGAAGGAAUACCGGUGGCGAAGSGGCCCCCUGGACAGAUACUGACACUCAGAUGCKAUAGGYGGGGAGCAAACAGGAUUAGAUACCCUGGUAGUCC